CAGCCGCCGCGGUAAGACAGAGGAUGCAAGCGUCAUCCGGAAUGAUUGGGCGUAAAGCGUCUGUAGGUGGCUUUUCAAGUCCACAGUCAAAUCCCAGGGCUCAACCCUGGACAGGCGGUGGAAACUACCAAGCUGGAGUACGGUAGGGGCAGAGGGAAUUUCCGGUGGAGCAGUGAAAUGCAUUGAGAUCAGAAAGAACACCAACGGCGAAAGCACUCUGCUGGGCCGACACUGACACUGAGAGACGAAAGCUAGGGGAGCAAAUGGAAUUAGAUACCCCAGUAGUCCCUGUCUCUUAUAC
rnacentral:rRNA from 1 species